GAUGAACGCUGGCGGCGUGCCUAAUACAUGCAAGUCGAGCGAACAGACGAGGAGCUUGCUCCUUCGACGUUAGCGGCGGACGGGUGAGUAACACGUAGGUAACCUACCUAUAAGACUGGGAUAACUUCGGGAAACCGGAGCUAAUACCGGAUAAUAUUUCGAACCGCAUGGUUCGAUAGUGAAAGAUGGCUUUGCUAUCACUUAUAGAUGGACCUGCGCCGUAUUAGCUAGUUGGUAAGGUAACGGCUUACCAAGGCAACGAUACGUAGCCGACCUGAGAGGGUGAUCGGCCACACUGGAACUGAGACACGGUCCAGACUCCUACGGGAGGCAGCAGUAGGGAAUCUUCCGCAAUGGGCGAAAGCCUGACGGAGCAACGCCGCGUGAGUGAUGAAGGUCUUCGGAUCGUAAACUCUGUUAUUAGGGAAGAACAAACGUGUAAGUAACUGUGCACGUCUUGACGGUACCUAAUCAGAAAGCCACGGCUAACUACGUG
rnacentral:rRNA from 1 species